rnacentral:rRNA from 1 species
UACGUAGGCAGCGAGCGUUGUUCGGAGUUACUGGGCGUAAAGGGUGUGUAGGCGGUUUUCUAAGUUUGGUGUGAAAUCUCCCGCUCAACCGGGAGGGUGCGCCGAAAACUGGGAGACUAGAGUGCGGGAUGGGAGAGUAGAAUUCCUGGUGUAGCGGUGAAAUGCGUAGAUAUCAGGAGGAAUACCGGUGGUGUAGACGGCUCUCUGGACCGCCACUGACGCUGAGACACGAAAGCGUGGGGAGCAAACAGG